AUUUACUUCACUAUAGAAGUAUCUUCUCUCCACUCUCUCACUCUCCUCCAAAAUAAUCGCAUUGCAAUAAGAAAGUAUCAUCAUCUCCUUACUCCUCCAUGGCCAAAUCCUCGAGUAGUUAUCAUCAACCAAUCGAAUUGAAGAACAAAUCACACAGAAUUUGACUCCGAUUAAAUCAAACACUUCAAACGAAUCUCGAUUCACCCAUUUUUAUGAAAAUUCUCUGAUUUUUUUUAAACAAGGCCAAUUGAGUGCAUUUGACAAGAUGGAAUAAAUAUUGGUUGUUACAGGUAAAUUACUAAUUCAUUUGACAAAUUACAUAAAAGAACAAUUUUUUUUAAACUUUGUGUAGAAGCUUUAAUUCAUGUCAUCAAGAAAGAUAAAAUAUGCAUUGAGGCUCAUAAAAAGAUUGUUUCCUUAGUUUGUAGUUACUACUUGAAUAUGUAUGUUAGUGUGUCAGUUAUUUUAUAGGUCUGGUAUUUUAUAUGUUCGUGUGAGAACUCUUUUAAGUUUCAGGUAUAUGCAAUUCUUAUUUGUGUUUUAUAUUGAGUACAUUUGGUGCAAUGAGUUGCCACUGUUUACUAUGUCAAUCCUAACAAAAUUAGCAUAUUCAUUCCACAUAUUCUUUGUUUUGGUGUAUCUAUCUAAUUUUAGUUUGUACGAAGCUUUAGGACAUACAAAGAGAGCAAUAUAAUAGUCCUAUGCGUAAACUUAUAAGAUGACUAUUUGAGAGUAUUUUUUCCUAUAUUGCAGCCUGCAAUUUUCAAUACUAAAUUUUUUUGUUAAUAGGUAGAAUUAAGUGCAGAAAAGCGAAUAUAUAUUGUUAUAAUUUGUUUUUGUGACAUGGCACAAUGUAUUUGAUAAUCCCAAAUAGUCUUAGUAUGUCUAAACCUAUCCUCUUCACCCAACAAUUUCACAUGAAGACUAAAUUGGGUAUAUAUAUUGUUGUAUGUUCAGUAGUAGUACUUAAGUAGAACGAGUUACAUUAAACCUUAAACAUACCAAAGUAUCUAAUAGUUUUAGUUUCAUACCUCAUUUGUUAUGCUAAUAAUAAGUAUACAAAAAAUCAAUUGCUUCAUCACUUCAAGAGGUGAAUUGUUGAGAAGCGAGUGCUUUGGCAAAGCGAUGUUAAGUAUGAAAACAUAUUUUAUUUAUAUUUUUAGCAUUUAAAAAGGUUUAUUUCUAAAUGAAAAGAAGUUUGACAUCAAAAGAUUACAUUUCACAUCUUCUCCAAUGAUUGAAUUUCAGGUAAACGUCUUUUUUAUCUUCUUCUACUUCUCCAUCUUGCUAUGUUUUCUUCUUCUUUCUUCUCCAACGCUCUCUAUUGUCUGCGAAACUUGUUUUUCUUUUCUUUCGUAUUCUACUUUCUUCAUCCUAAUUUAAAAUGUAACAUGUAAUUUUGAUCAAAGACAAUUCAGAAGAAAUUGAUCACAACAUAUAAGAUGCUUUGUUAGUGUUUGAUUUAUAAAUGUAAGUGUAAUUAGUACUUUCACAUAUGUAAAUAUUCCACUACAACAUCCAAUAGUAUGACGUUUGCAAAAUAUAUAGACAUUUUGUAGUUACUAUGUUCAAGAUAGUAAUAUUUUAAUUUACUUUAUAUAAUAGUGUUUAUAUGUGAUUUGGUCAUUUAAAUUAAUCUAUCUUAGACAACAAAUAAGACUACACGUUGGCAUAUUAUAUUUUUUAUUUCUAUCUAUUACAUAAAAGAGCCAUGAUUAGGACGACCAAUGGAAAUAUUAUAAUUUUAAAUAUUUUUUAAGGGCAAAGCUAUAACUUUAUAAUUGUACAAUUAGUGGUCAAAAUAAUUUUCUAGAAGAAUUCAAUAAUAUUUUUCAAGAGUCACAAAAGAUUUUGUUUCAUGUGUGACUCCACAUAAUCAUUUCAUUUAAUUUUUAAAAAUUAAUUUGUAGUUGUUUGAUUAUAAUAAUGUACAAAAUUUUUAUAUAAUUUAAAUAGUUCAUAUAUGUUUAUUGCUACUACUACAUAUUCAGUAUAACCUAUCAUCUUCCAUAAUGUAAUUUUCGUUUAAAUUAUAUAAAAUGCUUUUUAAACAUAAGUAUUCAUAUCGUUUUAACAGAAAAUGGUCAAAAAUAUCCUUAAACUAUUCGAAAUAGUUCAUAUAUAUCCUUAAAUUAUAUUUCGGCUCAAAACUCUCCGUCCCGUCUAACUAUUGGGUCAAAGGUGCAAUUCUUAUUAAUGGAAGUUGUUAAAUGUCAUGUGAAUGUCACAUUGCACGCCAAUAGGGUUCCACUGCCACUUAGACUAAAAGGAAAACGGUAAAAAAAUACUCUUAAACUAUCUGAAAUAGUUCAUAUUGACUCUUAAACUAUAUUUCGGCUCCAAACUACCCUUUCCGUCAAACUAUUGAAUCAAAAGUGUCUUUCUUAUUAACGAAAGUUGUUAAGUGCCAACUGAAUUCCAUAUUGCACGCCAAUAGGGUUCCACUGCCACAGACUAAAUCCUUAAGUCUUUACUACUCUUUUUUCCCCUCAUUUCAUUAUUUUCCAUUAAUGAUUUUGCUCCUUCUCCCUUAUUUCGCGGCUAAGAGUUUUAAAGUUUUCUUCGUCACUGGGUUUCAAAGUGGAUCUUCGUGGUUGUAGGUUAGUAAAUUUUUUUUCUUAUUUUACCUCCAAAUAAGUACUUAUUUAAUCUCCAAAAUAAAAUUUGUUUUAUGUUAAUAAUUGUCACUUAAAUAAGAAAACAAAAAUAUC
rnacentral:lncRNA from 1 species